CCGUUGGUAGCUCAGUUGGUAGAGCAUUUGAAAUUUACCUUUUUCGCUUUUUAUCCUUAAAUAGGGUCGUAGAAAUAGGAUUAUCGUUAAUCAAGGUGUCGUAGGUUCAAGUCCUACCCAACGGG
rnacentral:tRNA from 1 species